AUUUAACUACAUAUUUUAAGUAUUAGCAUUUUGUAGAAAGUAUUUUGUAGUAAGUAUAUCUAACUUUUAGUAAAUACUAAAACAUUUUGUAUACCGCUACAAAAAAGAAAACUAAAUGUCACACCCAGGGGCUGGCUAUGCUUUGACUAAGCCACACCCCUUCUCAACUUCCACCUCGAGGAGGUCCCCAAAGCCAACCCAAUGGCCAAACAACACGAGAACAAGUAAGUGAUAAAACAAUCUUUAUUUAAAUAUUUAAAAAUAGCUUGGGGAAUAGGGAAAGGGCAAUUAAAACUAAACUCUGACUCGGCCCUCCAGAUGGGCUAUGGCCGGGAAGAGGUCAGGGAGCAAGGGGGCCACGGGGAUCCGGGGCGUGGGACUCGGGCCCCGGCCUGAGUCUUAGGUAUCCGUAGCGCCCUCCUUCUUCCUCCUCUUCGCUGAAUACAGCUCACGGUAAGUACUGGUUCACACAGUUCGUUCUCGGGGUGCUCACUCUCUUUCUCUUCCUCCACAGGCAACGGCUGGGACACAAAGGCACAGUUAAUUCGGCUUGGUUUUGCUCUCACCUCUUCGCUGAUUGCAGCUCACAGUAAGUACUGGUUCACACAGUUCGUUCUCUGGGUGCUCACUCUCUUUCUCUUUCUCCACAGGCAACGGCUGGGACACACAGGCACAGUUAGUUCAGCUUGGUUUUGCUCUCACCUCUUCGCUGAUUACAGCUCACAGUAAGUACUGGUUCACACAGUUCGUUCCUUGGGUGCUCACUCGCUUUCUCUUUCUCCACAGGCAGCGGCGUAAGUACAGGUUUCCUCGGUCUCUCCUCGUGUUACUCACUCUCUCUCCUUUUCUCUCCACAGGUAUCAACUUGGACACAAAGCACAGUUACUCUGCUUUGGAUGGCUUUCACCUCUGGGCUGGACACAGCGUACCGUGCUAUCUCCGGAGAUCUGAAGCACGCUCACAACAUAUACUGUACUGAACUAGGCUAGGACCAGCAGUCUCCUUGUCCUCCCGCGACGAAGUGCGUGAAGGCGGGGGUUUAUCUGACAGGACACACGGCAAUACACAGCAGCCCACAGCAAUAUACAACACCACGUCAAAAUUAUAGGUUUUCACAGCACGAAGACUCACCCACCACACUCAGUGUACGAAAAGGACACCCGUCUUCCUUCACUUCGCUUGGUUCGGAUCUGGCGAUGGAAUAUGCGGCCUAGCUAGUGAUGUCGUCGUUGUGACUACUUCAAUAAGUAUUCCUUCGGCUCUCCCACCACGCUAUAUUAGGGGUAGGGCCGCCCUCCUCCUCCUGGAGAGAUCUACACAACGCCAGGUCAAUAUACAGGGCACUUUCGACUGGCUCUUAGUACUCACAUCAAUGCCGCUUCCAAUCCCCUUUUUCACGUCGUCUCAGUUCGCCGUAUAAUCCGUUCACUUCUCAACCUUUAAGGUUCGCGAUGUCUUCACAAUCAUACAAUUCCAGCCUGAGGGAGAGAGAGAGUUAGACAGCCACCAGCAGCGCACCAAGACGGGCACAACACAGUGCUUCACACACACCAGAAAGAGCUCCCAGACUGUGAAAUAACUUGGCCUUAAGUACUGCCUUGUCCAGCGUAUCCUCCAAUCACCAACCGCUGUCCCUAACUAGGCACAGGUGCAUCGAAUUCCCUGAUUUUCCUUCUUACGGCGCUACCGGAAGUUCCGGUGUUCUGUUUUUCCGGUCCGGGCGGAACCAAACUUCCCGAAUUUUGGUUCCGCCCCUAAAGAUCGUCACCUUGUGACAUAAACACCAUGUAGUUAUCUCUUCAGGGACUCAAAUGAAAUCUGUGAAUCAUUUAUGAACUGGCUCAUUUCACAUGAAUCAAUUCACUAAAAUGAAUCAGACUUCCAA
ensembl:lncRNA